AACGCGAAGAACCUUACCAGGCCUUGACAUCCCGGUCGCGGCUCCUUGAAAGAGGGGCCUUCAGUUCGGCUGGACCGGUGACAGGUGCUGCAUGGCUGUCGUCAGCUCGUGUCGUGAGAUGUUGGGUUAAGUCCCGCAACGAGCGCAACCCUCGCCCUUAGUUGCCAUCAUUCAGUUGGGCACUCUAAGGGGACUGCCGGUGAUAAGCCGCGAGGAAGGUGGGGAUGACGUCAAGUCCUCAUGGCCCUUACGGCCUGGGCCACACACGUGCUACAAUGGCGGUGACAGUGGGCAGCAAAGGGGCAACCCGGAGCUAAUCUCAAAAAGCCGUCUCAGUUCGGAUUGCACUCUGCAACUCGGGUGCAUGAAGUCGGAAUCGCUAGUAAUCGCGGAUCAGCACGCCGCGGUGAAUACGUUCCCGGGCCUUGUA
rnacentral:rRNA from 1 species